GUGGGGAAUCUUAGACAAUGGGGGAAACCCUGAUCUAGCCAUGCCGCGUGAGCGAUGAAGGCCUUAGGGUUGUAAAGCUCUUUCAGAUGGGAAGAUAAUGACGGUACCAUCAGAAGAAGCCCCGGCUAACUCCGUGCCAGCAGCCGCGGUAAUACGGAGGGGGCUAGCGUUGUUCGGAAUUACUGGGCGUAAAGCGCACGUAGGCGGACCAGAAAGUCAGAGGUGAAAUCCCAGGGCUCAACCUUGGAACUGCCUUUGAAACUCCUGGUCUUGAGGUCGAGAGAGGUGAGUGGAAUUCCGAGUGUAGAGGUGAAAUUCGUAGAUAUUCGGAGGAACACCAGUGGCGAAGGCGGCUCACUGGCUCGAUACUGACGCUGAGGUGCGAAAGCGUGGGGAGCAAACAGGAUUAGAUACCCGAGUAGUCC
rnacentral:rRNA from 1 species